AUUGAACGCUGGCGGCAGGCUUAACACAUGCAAGUCUAGCGAGCGGCGGACGGGUUAGUAAUGUCUGGGAAACUGCCUGCUGGAGGGGGCUACCUACUGGAAACGGUAGCUAAUACCGCAUACAAUCAGAUGUGCCCCGAUGGGCUUAGCUAGUAGGUGGGGUAAUGGCUCACCUAGGCGACGAUCCCCAGCUGGUCUGAGAGGAUGACAAGCCACACUGGAACUGAGACACGGUCCAGACUCCUACGAGAGGCAGCAGUGGGGAAUAUUGCACAAUGGGCGCAAGCCUGAUGAAGCGAUGCAGCGUGUGUGAAGAAGGCCUUCGGGUUGUAAAGCACUUUCAGCGAGGAGGCGUUACUCGCAGAAGAAGCACCGGCUAACUCCGUGCCAGCAGCCGCGGUAAUUC
rnacentral:rRNA from 1 species